GAUGAACGCUGGCGGCGUGCCUAAUACAUGCGAGUCGAGCGAACGGACGAGAAGCUUGCUUCUCUGAUGUUAGCGGCGGACGGGUGAGUAACACGUGGAUAACCUACCUAUAAGACUGGGAUAACUUCGGGAAACCGGAGCUAAUACCGGAUGAUAUUUUGAACCGCAUGGUUCAAAAGUGAAAGACGGUCUUGCUGUCACUUAUAGAUGGAUCCGCGCUGCAUUAGCUAGUUGGUAGGGUAACGGCUUACCAAGGCAACGAUGCAUAGCCGACCUGAGAGGGUGAUCGGCCACACUGGAACUGAGACACGGUCCAGACUCCUACGGGAGGCAGCAGUAGGGAAUCUUCCGCAAUGGGCGAAAGCCUGACGGAGCAACGCCGCGUGAGUGAUGAAGGUCUUCGGAUCGUAAAACUCUGUUAUUAGGGAAGAACAUAUGUGUAAGUAACUGUGCACAUCUUGACGGUACCUAAUCAGAAAGCCACGGCUAACUACGUG
rnacentral:rRNA from 1 species